CAAAGGAAUUGACGGGGGCCCGCACAAGCGGAGGAACAUGUGUUUUAAUUCGAUGAUACGCGAGGAACCUUACCCGGGCUCGAACGGCAGCUGAAUAUUCCAGAGAUGGGAUAGUCUUCGGACAGUUGUCGAGGUGCUGCAUGGUUGUCGUCAGCUCGUGCUGUGAAGUGUCGGCUUAAGUGCCAUAACGAGCGCAACCCUUGCCUUCAGUUGCCAUCAGGUUAAGCUGGGGACUCUGGAGGGACUGCCACCGCAAGGUGCGAGGAAGGGGGGGAUGACGUCAAAUCAGCACGGCCCUUACGUCCGGGGCGACACACGUGUUACAAUGGCAGGUACAGAGGGGUGCUACCGGGCGACCGGAUGCCGAUCUCGAAAACCUGUCCCAGUUCGGACUGGAGUCUGCAACCCGACUCCACGAAGUUGGAUUCGCUAGUAAUCGCGCAUCAGCCAUGGCGCGGUGAAUACGUUCCCGGGCCUUGUACACACCGCCCGUCAAGCCAUGGGAGCCGGGGGCGCCUGAAGUCCGGGACCGCGAGGACCGGCCUAGGGCGAAACUGGUGACUGGGGCUAAGUCGUAACAAGGUAACCGU
rnacentral:rRNA from 1 species